AGAGUUUGAUCCUGGCUCAGAAUCAACGCUGGCGGCGUGCCUCAGACAUGCAAGUCGAACGAUUAAAGCUCUCUUCGGAGAGUGCAUAGAGUGGCGCACGGGUGAGUAACACGUGGGUAAUCUACCUUUGAGUGGGGAAUAACAUUCGGAAACGGAUGCUAAUACCGCAUAAUGCAGCGGCACCUAAUGGUGACAGUUGUUAAAGAUUUAUCGCUUAAAGAGGAGCCCGCGGCAGAUUAGCUAGUUGGUAAGGUAACGGCUUACCAAGGCUACGAUCUGUAGCCGGUCUGAGAGGACGGCCGGUCACACUGACACUGAAUAACGGGUCAGACUCCUACGGGAGGCAGCAGUCGGGAAUUUUGGGCAAUGGGCGAAAGCCUGACCCAGCAACGCCGCGUGAAGGAUGAAGUAUUUCGGUAUGUAAACUUCGAAAGAAUAGGAAGAAUAAAUGACGGUACUAUUUAUAAGGUCCGGCUAACUACGUGCCAGCAGCCGCGGUAAUACGUAGGGACCAAGCGUUGUUCGGAUUUACUGGGCGUAAAGGGCGCGUAGGCGGCAUGACAAGUCACUUGUGAAAUCUCCGGGCUUAACUCGGAACGGCCAAGUGAUACUGUCGCGCUAGAGUGCAGAAAGGGCAAUCGGAAUUCUUGGUGUAGCGGUGAAAUGCGUAGAUAUCAAGAGGAACACCUGAGGCGAAGGCGGGUUGCUAGGCUGACACUGACGCUGAGGCGCGAAAGCCAGGGGAGCAAACGGGAUUAGAUACCCCGGUAGUCCUGGCCCUAAACGAUGAAUACUUGGUGUCUGGAGUUAUUAAUGCUCUGGGUGCCGUAGCUAACGUUUUAAGUAUUCCGCCUGGGGAGUACGCUCGCAAGAGUGAAACUCAAAGGAAUUGACGGGGACCCGCACAAGCGGUGGAGCAUGUGGUUUAAUUCGACGCAACGCGAAGAACCUUACCUGGACUAGAAUGUGAGGGAAGGGCUUCUAAUAGAGUCCGUCCGGGCAACCGGACCCAAAACAAGGUGCUGCAUGGCUGUCGUCAGCUCGUGUCGUGAGAUGUUGGGUUAAGUCCCGCAACGAGCGCAACCCUUAUUGACAGUUGCCAUUAUUAAGUUAGGAACUCUGUCAAGACUGCCGUUGAUAAAACGGAGGAAGGUGGGGAUGAUGUCAAGUCCUCAUGGCCCUUACGUCCAGGGCUACACACGUACUACAAUGGCAGAAACAGACCGAUCGAAACCGCGAGGUGGAGCUAAUCGGUAAAACACUGUCUCAGUUCGGAUUGGAGUCUGCAACUCGACUCCAUGAAGUUGGAAUCUCUAGUAAUCGCAGAUCAGCACGCUGCGGUGAAUACGUUCCCGGGCCUUGUACACACCGCCCGUCACACCACGAAAGUGGUCAUAACCAGAAGCAGAUAAGCUAACUUCGGAGGCAGUCUGCCAAGGUUGUGGCCGUAAUUGGGGUGAAGUCGUAACAAGGUA
rnacentral:rRNA from 1 species